UAUACUUACCUGGCUAAUUUGGUUAAUUAGUCUUAAUGGGUUGCUUGGUGAUUCGAGCUAACCCAUGCUCUUAGGGUUAGUCAUAACAGUUAUGACUAAUUAGAAUUAGAUCUAUUGUAAUUAUGAAUUUACAUGAGAUGUAAAUUAGCAAUUAAAGGAUUAAAGAGACCUAAAUUAAAACCUCCUCAAUAAUAUUAAGUCGAGGGGUCUUCCACCAUUAUAGAGUGCUA
rnacentral:lncRNA from 1 species